GGGCCAUAGCUCAAUGGCAGAGCAUGUGUCUUGCACAUGAAAGGUCCUGGGUUCAGUCCCCAGCAUCUCCA